rnacentral:rRNA from 1 species
GACGAACGCUGGCGGCGUGCUUAACACAUGCAAGUCGACGACGCUACUGAGUAGCAAUAUUUAGUAGUGGAGUGGCGCAAGGGUGAGUAAUGUAUACGUAACCAACCCGCCGGAGACGGAUAACAUUUCGAAAGGGAUGCUAAAACGGCAUGAAGCCACGAUUUCGCAUGAGAUUGUGGUUAAAGAACCGGUAACAGGUUGCCGAUGGCUGGGCGUAUAUCCGAUUAGCUAGUUGGUAGUGUAAUGGACUACCAAGGCGACGAUCGGUAGCUGGUCUGAGAGGAUGAUCAGCCACACUGGCACUGAGACACGGGCCAGACUCCUACGGGAGGCAGCAGUGGGGAAUAUUGGGCAAUGCCCGCAAGGGUGACCCAGCAACGCCGCGUGGAGGAUGAAGGCCGUAAGGUUGUAAACUCUGACAAGCAGGGAAGAACGGCUAUGGUAAAAGGCCAUAGAAUGACGGUACCUGCCUGAAGCCCCGGCUAACUACGUG